rnacentral:SRP_RNA from 1 species
CCGUGCUAGGCGGGGAGCUAGCGGUGCCCUGUACCCGAGAUCCGCUUCAUGCGGGGCUGAAUCCCCGCCGGAGGCCCGCGAGGUCCGAGGCAGCCUCGGCGCGGGGCGUUGAAGGUCGGGUCCUACGCGACGUCGGGCCGCGAACCGGGUCAGGGCGGGAACGCAGCAGCCCUAAGCGGUUCCCGGCGGGUGCCGUGGGUUCGCCUGGCUGGAGCCUGCCGCGCGGAGCAGCGAUCGAGUCUCACGUGGUCGAUGGCGGGUGCACGG